rnacentral:ncRNA from 1 species
GGAAACUCCAAGUCUUUUGGGUUCCGGGGGGAGUAUGGUUGCAAAGCUGAAACUUAAAGGAAUUGACGGAAGGGCACCACCAGGAGUGGAGCCUGCGGCUUAAUUUGACUCAACACGGGACAGCAAUUGACGAGGUCUGCUCGAUGCCGUGGGGGGGGGGGGUGGCGUCUAGUGGGUGGGCGAUGUGUCUGGUAGUCGAACGACGCGGCUGCUGCUAACUACGUGCGGAGCGGUCGGCGUCCUUUAGAGGGACAAGUGGCGUUCAGCACCCGGAUUGCAAUACAGGUCUGUGAUGCGCUUAGAUGUCCGGGCUGCACCGCGCUACCCCGACGCCAGCUGUGUCUACCUCCCGGCAGGCGCGGGUGUGACCCCAUGUGAUGGGAUCGGGAUUUGCAAUUAUUCCCCAUGAACGGAGGAAUUCCCAGUAAGUGCGGGCUCAUAAGCUCGCGUUGAUUAAGUCCCUGCCCUUUGAUACACCACCGCCCCGUCGCUACUACCGAUUGGAUGGUUUAGUGAGGUCCUCGGAUCGGCC